AAGAUUUUAGUUUAAAAUUAAAACAUUAACUUGUCAAGUUAAAAAUAUUUAAAUAAAAAUAAACCUUA
rnacentral:tRNA from 2 species